AGUGAACGCUGGCGGUAGGCCUAACACAUGCAAGUCGAACGGCAGCACAGUAAGAGUUUGCUCUUACGGGUGGCGAGUGGCGGACGGGUGAGGAAUACAUCGGAAUCUACUUUUUCGUGGGGGAUAACGUAGGGAAACUUACGCUAAUACCGCAUACGACAUACGGGUGAAAGCAGGGGAUCUUCGGACCUUGCGCGACUGAAUGAGCCGAUGUCGGAUUAGCUAGUUGGCGGGGUAAAGGCCCACCAAGGCGACGAUCCGUAGCUGGUCUGAGAGGAUGAUCGGCCACACUGGAACUGAGACACGGUCCAGACUCCUACGGGAGGCAGCAGUAGGGAAUAUUGGACAAUGGGCGCAAGCCUGAUCCAGCCAUACCGCGUGGGUGAAGAAGGCCUUCGGGUUGUAAAGCCCUUUUGUUGGGAAAGAAAAGCAGCAGGUUAAUACCCCGCUGUUCUGACGGUACCCAAAGAAUAAGCACCGGCUAACUUCGUG
rnacentral:rRNA from 1 species